GAUGAAGAACGCAGCGAAAUGCGAUAAGUAAUGUGAAUUGCAGAAUUCAGUGAAUCAUCGAAUCUUUGAACGCACAUUGCGCCCCUUGGUAUUCCAUGGGGCAUGCCUGUUCGAGCGUCAUUUGUACCUUCAAGCUUUGCUUGGUGUUGGGUGUUUGUCUCGCCUCUGCGUGUAGACUCGCCUUAAAACAAUUGGCAGCCGGCGUAUUGAUUUCGGAGCGCAGUACAUCUCGCGCUUUGCACUCAUAACGACGACGUCCAAAAGUACAUUUUUACACUCUUGACCUCGGAUCAGGUAGGGAUACCCGCUGAACUUAAGCAUAUCAAUAAGCGGAGGA
rnacentral:misc_RNA from 1 species